GUUUUUCUGAAAUGACCAUCAUUGAAGCACACACUUCUCCUCUUUCUUGGCCAUCUUUCCUUUGUUCUGCUCCAGCGUCCUCUCCAGGUGCUCGUCCUCCUCCUCGGCCCUGCGGAGGGCAAAGGUCAAAAGGUCCCUGACCAGCGCGUCGCGUUUGUUGACCAGUAUGACCAACUCAUCCAGCAGCAGCUGCUCUCGUCUCUUCUGGGCCUCCGUCUUCUGCCAGUCUGCAACGACACCAGAGGAACACACUCCUUCAGGGCAGGAGACACUGAGGACAAUCUAUUUUUAUUCUAAAAACCUCGAGACACUUGGUCCCAUGGAUGAAAAGUUUUAUUUCUUUUGUCCUGCCAGGAACUUGUGGCUGCAGGAUACGACACACUGAUGAACUACCUCACAGUCACGUCAAGAUGAAUGUAAAACAACAUUUCUACAAAGAGUUAACUCGGAUCCUCCUGGAAAAGAAACUUCCAAUGAAAUGUUUUUUAAAAACUGCUUUUCAAACACUUUGGACACGGCUUCACUUGUUUUCAGCUCUUUAUCAGGUAACUGCGUCACAUUAAAGGACGAUCAGGUCCUCUGAGGACCACAGAGCUUCAACAUGGCGGACAGGUUGUCUCAGUUUGGUAAAAGUUCUAUUAACCUGCUGGACUGUGAAGCGAUGGACACCAGACCAGUUCCAUGUAUGGACGAGUGUGUAGAUAUGUGUAAACACACUUGAAGGAUACUGUCAUGUUAAUCUGCAGCCUUAUGAUGCACACAGAGAUCUGUGAAGAAUCCCACUCCCACAGGAACAUGCUGCUCAUAUAAAGUCCUCAAUCAUAACUUCAAAAACACAGAUGAUUGUGUUGUAUGUUUAAAAAGAAUUUCUGGGACUCAUAACUUGAAGGUAAUUCCUGUAGCACUGGAAAUCAUUUCUUAGGAAAGGGAGUAAAUCUCAUUUUGAAAAGUAGAACUCCGUAUGUAAGUUUUGUCUUGAUGGUUGAUAUGAUUUCCUAAAAAAAGCACACAAUUUCAUCACCUGUUAAAAGUGACAGCCCUGUUCUACGUAGCAUUUCUAUUAUUUUGUAUUUUCACCAAAAAAGUGUGAAACUAUUAAAGUUCUGGGUGUAUUUUUGAGGGUAAAGUGUGAAAUUAUGAAGAGUGAAGUGUUUCCACUUAGUUUAAGAUUAAAAAACGUCCUGGUUGAGUCUUCAUGGUCCAAUAAAUACAAACAUGAAAAAGUCACCUCAGCUAAAUAAACAAACAAAACAGGUGAGCCCCUGACUCUCGUCUCUCAGUUCUCCAGGGUCUUUGCAGGAAGGGGCCCCACAGGGCCCCACAGGGUCCAGGUGGGACCCUGAUCCAAAUCCCCUCAGCCUCUCCCUGGAGGGGAGGGGGAAUGCCCACAGGAGAGCUCUCACUCCCCCUGGGGCUCAAAUAUCCGCCUGGCGCCCUUGGCUCCACAUUCACCCAACACCGGGGCAGCACUCCUCCCUCCCUCACCCUCAAAACUCACCCCCAAACCCUGAACAGUGCUUAAAGAAUGAUUUUAUUACAACUAUUUGUCUUUUUAACCUCCUUUUUGUACAUUUUAAACAAUCCAGCAUCUACUUAUCAUGUAAACACAGGACAACUUGUGCUGUACAUAAAUUAGAUUUAACUUUAUCGUUACUGCACAGAGUUUAGCAUCAUGUUCAAUCCAUCUGCACUGAAACAUGUUCAGACACAGAAACAUCUCUGCAGAUUUUCCACGCUGUCCAACAGCUAAAGGCAGGCAGGAAAUCUGCAGCUACUCCUCAGCUCAGUGUGGGAACGUGUCCCCCUCAAAAACCCUCCAUCAUUUCAUAUUAAAAAAAAAAAGAAAUCCGCUCCAUCUCAGACAGAAUUCAAACACAGCUGAGACGUGUGCAACUUCUGUGCGCGUAGGCAACUUCACCCCUCUAUCAAUAUUUAACCGCCUAUUGAUUCGAGAAUAAAAGGAAUGUUGUAAAAUGUCAAUCCCAAAAUAAGUGUGGCUUUAUUAAAAAUAAAUAUUCCCCCCCCA